UCUGGUUCUCCGGCCAAGUUCUGUCCUAGCGCUGGAGGUGGUGAGCACGAAAAGACAUGACCGUGGGCGGCCUCAGUCAAGGCAGGCUUGAUGGAGUUUAUUCGAGAACAGCAAGCCAGUCAUCCACGAGGAUCUGAGGGAAUGAGACAUUGGGCAGUACUGGAAAUAAAUGACACUGAAUUUUCUCCUUUUUCUUUCCAAGACUUUCAGCUGAACUCUCAUCUCUCAACACUGGCAAAUAUUCAUAAGAUCUAUCACACCCUUAAUAAGCUAAAUCUAACAGAAGACGUUGGCCAAGACGAUCACCAAACAGGAAGUCUGCGGUCUUGCAGUUCUUCAGGCUGCUUUAGUAAAGCGAUGCCACCAAGGAAAAAGAGAAGACCCGCCUCUGGAGAUGAUUUAUCUGCCAAGAAAAGUAGACACGAUAGCAUGUAUAGAAAAUAUGAUUCAACUAGAAUAAAGACUGAAGACGAAGCCUUUUCAAGUAAGAGGUGCUUAGAAUGGUUCUAUGAAUAUGCAGGUACUGAUGAUGUUGUAGGUCCUGAAGGCAUGGAGAAAUUUUGUGAAGACAUUGGUGUUGAACCCGAAAAUGUAGUUAUGCUUGUCCUAGCUUGGAAAUUGGAUGCACAAAACAUGGGUUAUUUUACUCUACAGGAAUGGUUAAAAGGAAUGACCUCGCUACAAUGUGAUACAACAGAAAAACUCAGAAAUACUUUGGAUUACUUAAGAUCAUUAUUAAAUGAUUCUACAAACUUUAAACUUAUUUACAGAUAUGCGUUUGACUUUGCACGGGCGGAAGAUGGUGUCAGUGCUUGCGGGCUGCCGGCUGGCACCCUUGCCGAGCAGGAGUCAGUGAGUGAGUGCUGCCCAGCUUCCCCGUCCCGAGAAGGACCAGCGCAGCCUAGACAUAAACACUGCCAAGUGCAUGUUGGGACUGUUAUUAGGAAAAAUCUGGCCCCUUUUUCCAGUUUUUCACCAAUUCUUAGAGCAAUCAAAAUACAAAGUUAUUAAUAAAGACCAGUGGUGCAAUGUCCUAGAGUUUAGCAGAACGAUUAACCUUGACCUCAGCAACUACGACGAAGACGGCGCGUGGCCAGUUUUGUUGGACGAGUUCGUGGAGUGGUAUAAAGACAAACAGAUGUCCUAGGACGGUCUGCACGGCAGCGAGAGAGUCACUGUUACCAGUUCUGUCACCCAUUAGCCAUAAAUUGCUGUUUGUACCCAAGCGCAUGCUGCUUUUCUUGCACUGUCUCCCCUCGCAGGGACGUUUUGGUGUUUGCUAGCGAACGGGCCAGCUCUGCUUGCUGUGUGGCAUUGUUCUCUUGGAAGGCUGCCUUUGCGGCCUGUAUUUACACUACAGAUUGGUGAACUUGCCAACGUCCUCACUGUGAUGAUCUGUAUAUUGCUGUUUAAAUUUUGUAUAUGUGUAUAAAAAGAAAAAGCUUCACCUAGAGAUUAUUUCUUCAAAAAUGUAUUGUAAAAAUAAUUUUGUGGCAUAUUUCUAGUCCCUUUUUUCAAACGAACCAAUCAUCCUCUAUCCGGUCUCAAACGUAGCAUCUCAGCGAAGAAGACAAAACAACUGUUACCUGAGUAAACAUUGCCAGAGUUAACCUUACUGUCCGAGAGGCCAACUUUUUGGUAGGAGGUGGGAGUCUUCACUUUUCAGAGGCAAAUGCCAAAUGUAAUUUGGUUUACUCAACAAUAUUAGCGUUUUAAAAUGGCGAAAGUUAUAAUUAUUUCAGCAUGUAGACAUGGUGACAUGCCACAAAUCAUUUCUACCAUGCAAGGUAUAGUUUUUUUGUUUUUUAAUGGUAAAACUAUAGUAGCUUGAAUAUAGGUACAAAUGAACAAAUUCAAAUUGCACCUUUUUUUUUUUUAAUGGGGUUUAAAUUCCUGUAAACAUUCUUUAAUGGUUUUUCUCUUUUUCUUUUUUUCCCCUUUUGCCUUCUUCUAGCCAGUGUCUGCUCCGCUGGUGCUCUGUGCCACUCUGCGUAAAGUCAUUUUGCCUCCUCGUGAAAACCUCAUGGUUUGCUGGCAAUUUAUAAAUGCAAAGCACUUUUAGUGGCGGUUUGAAUUUUUAGUUCAGCUUUUAUGGUGUCUAAUUUCUAGUUUUUUGAAAAAAGAACCAUACUACGAGUGAGAGGUGUUUUGUUUUGUUCUGUUUUGUUUUCCUUGUUCGUUUCUGUCACGCUGGGCUUUUCCUGGCAGCAAGUCCAUUGCAGGCAGUGGACACGUAACCACCAGCAUCGAGAUGACCCAGUUCUUGCUAGGACCUGUCUUGGAGGGGCCACUUGUCAUUACCCGAGUCAUUUGUACAGAAGGGGGACAGCCAUUAUUUAUGUGGAUGAGGAAACAAGAGUAUACAAGAUGGUGUUUUUAGGUUUGUAUUUUAUGUCUUUCUCCUUUUUUGGCCUUACCCUUCUUGAGGAAAUGUAGAGAUAACAUGUUUUCACCCCAACUACCUGGUGCUAUUGAAUGAUACUGAUUCAGUCCCUAAAGUUCUGUGAAAACACAACAGUCUAAUGAUUUGACCAAAUAAAGAGCUAAUGGUGCGUUUGAACGAGUGGAUGCUGUAGUUGUCAACAAGAUCCUUGAUUGAGCACGUGAUGAUUGGAGGAAGUUUGGAUUUUUUGGAAAUCUGGCCAAGAAAUCUUCUGGAUGACAUGUGAGCCUUUCAAUGGCAUUAACUGAGUAAAGCACACAGACAAUGCUACUCUUGACCACUGUUACGGUUUCUUUGCAAACAGUGUUCAGAUUUUCAUAUUAUUUUUUUUUCCCUAACUGAACCACCAAAGACAGAAAUUUUGUAUGUAUAUACAGUGUGUGUGCAUAUACAAAAUCAUGAUAUGGUAGAAUGCAACUACUUUUUUUUUUUUUUUUUCCUACCAAAUAGAAAGAUUUGGUUUGCUGUGAAAUAAACCAGAAGUUUUAAAAACUCUGUAGUGAUUAAGCAUACUUAACCAUUCCUUGUCUGUAGACUGACUUUUAACCUUACAAAUUAAUACCAGUUUGCAGAAAUUAAUAUCUGAAAAGAGCAGAAAGUGUUGAUGGCAAGCAACAGCCAGCGAGACUCGCGUAGCGGAUGCGUGUGUAUUGCAGUGGUUGGUGACUGGCUGUAGGCAGGCUGGCAUCUGUAGAGAAGUGAUUCAUUUUUUAAAAGUCCCCCCAUAAAGUUUAAAAAUAUAUAUAUAUAUCACACUCUAAAGGCAAUGGUUUUAAAUUUGAUCAACUGUAGUUUUGUUUAAAGCAAAUACAAAUCAUAGGUAAAAUUAUUUUAAAUGUUAUGUUAGAAUCUGGAGAAUUUUUUUUUCAACACUGAGCACAGUUAAUCCUCAGAUGAAAGAAUUGUUACAAGGGGAGAUGUUCCAUUUCAUCCACAGUGAACAUUUUGAUGACGGGAGAAAAACUCAAGUGAAAGCUAUUUCACGAUGUGUGAUGUGAAAGUGAGUAUUCCAAAGAGAUAAUCUCGCAUAUUUAGACAACUCCAAAUAAUCCUUCAGCUGCCUUGAAAAAUAAACCUCUGUGACUACUGAUGGCAGAUUGCUUGCCCUUGGUUUUCUUGAUUCUAUGUAGUUGUUUUUAAGGGGAGAAAAAAAGAGUUGGACAGAAUAUUAAGAUGCAUUUUCUUAGGAAUUGUCCUAAGUUACACAAAAAGCUGAACCGUCACCGACAGCUUAUCUACUUGCUAGUGUUAAGUAAAUUAGGGUGCCUUCUGCUGGUUUUUCUUCAGUACUGAAGUCUACACCCUCUCUCUCCAUUGUGUUCUGAACGCCACGUGGCAAUACUCUGUCGUAAUGGAGUACAACUUCUAGAUGUUCGCUGCUGCGGUAGGUCAUACAUUUCAUUAUUUGAUUUGCCACAAAUGUCCACCGUAAUAUUACGUGCACCUUCUUUGAAGCAUGAACUCUCAAUUACAUUUUUAUAAAUCCGACUAGACAAACCUCUAGAUUCUGGCUUAACAACAGAUUUCUUUUGCCUCUCGGUCUCAAUUUUAACAGUGCUUUUGAAGUUUAUACAGAAAGCUUUAAAAGUUAGUUUGUGCCCUUGGUUUUUGUUCUCACAACUGCUAAAAUACCUCUGUAAGCCUUAUCCUUUUAUUCUUUCGAAUGUUGUAUAAUAAAUGUAUAGAAUUCAUUGACCAACUAAAAUGUUGGGUGUCUGUAAAUGAGACCAAAAUGUGGGUUGCUUUUUUUCAUAAAGUAAUUUCUAUUGAGGGUUACUGUUAAAUGAACAGCAGCUAACCUGUAACUGUGAAUGCUUCGUGUCGUCAGUAUUUGCAUUACAUUCAUAAAAGUGUGCAAGUCCUGUGACUCCCAGCUUAACUAAAAUGAUGUUAUUAUGCCACCUAACUUGAGUACAGCAAACUGGUUUUAGGUUUUAAUGGAAUCGAUGUAAAAUGAUAGCCCAUAAAUAAAAAGUAUUUGUGUUUGGUUUCAGAA